rnacentral:lncRNA from 1 species
AUUACAUUGUGUACAUUCCAUCUCUAUAGAUGUUGUCUGUUUAACGUCCCCACCUAAAAAGAAAUAAAAAGACUAUCUUUUCGUUAUUAUAAACCCGUGUCACGUGAUGUGGCGCGCGCGCUGUACCUAAAAUAAAAGAAAAAAACUUUCCAAACUAAACAUGAAACUUCUCCGGUAACAAUAAUAUAGACCCCAUACAGAAACAAACAAACAAACAAACAAACAAACAAACACCCCCCAAUUCAAUUAAUUUUACAGGGGGAAAGACCCCCUACAAUUGCUUUUUUAAAGCAAUUGAUUUAUAUUUUUGUUUAUUUUUGUUU